rnacentral:rRNA from 1 species
CAGCCGCCGCGGUAAUACGUAGGGUGCGAGCGUUAAUCGGAAUUACUGGGCGUAAAGCGUGCGCAGGCGGUUUGUUAAGACAGAUGUGAAAUCCCCGGGCUCAACCUGGGAACUGCAUUUGUGACUGGCAAGCUAGAGUGUGGCAGAGGGGGGUGGAAUUCCGCGUGUAGCAGUGAAAUGCGUAGAUAUGCGGAGGAACACCGAUGGCGAAGGCAGCCCCCUGGGCCAACACUGACGCUCAUGCACGAAAGCGUGGGGAGCAAACAGGAUUAGAUACCCCUGUAGUCCCUGUCUCUUAUAC